rnacentral:lncRNA from 1 species
GGCAGUUCUCACUGCAGGUCUUAAGUGAGAUGCAGAGAUGUAUUGGUAUCAGUUGUGACCCAGUGUAUUCCCAGCUGUGGUAGCUAUAUGGGGAGACUCCUGCUUGAAGAAAGAAAAGUGAAGAGCGAAGGAGACUUUGCUUUCUGGCUGGGUACCAGCUCAGCUAAAGUGAGGACAGCUAUUGAUAUUUGGAUCUUGGCAACCAAACACCUCGCUAACUUCUCUAAUCUUUUCUAACAAUUUUCAUUUGCUAUCUCUACGUUUUCCAGGUAUGUAAGCAUUUAAAAAAAAUGACAAUUAUCUUCCUUCUUAAUUUCCACAUUUUAUUCUUCAUUUUUUCUCUGGUUCAAUUUCAUUAACUAGGUAAUUGUAAUAUUGUUAUUUUACUCUUAGUUAAGUGAGGAUUCCCAAUUUCAAUUUUUCUAACAGGAAGAAGACAGUUACGCUCACUAGAGCAUCAUAAUAUUGAUAAAGGGAAUAAUUGUCUUAUUCCUAGCUUUAUUGAGAAUAUUUCUUGGUAAAAUUCUUGGAUGAAUUAUUCAAUGUAAAUGCUAGACUGAGUUUAUAAAUAUUAAAUCAUUUACUUUGCAUAUAAUAAUAUGGAGUAAGGUAUAUGUAAUCAUCUCCAUUCUACAGUUGAGAAAACUUUAGGAUAGUGAAAAAUAUGUAUCCCACAAUAAAUGUAUGACAAAAUUAAUAAGUUGUACAUGGUUCUACCUUAAAACUAAGAUCAAAUAAAUAAAACAUUAAAAAGAUUUAAUUACCUCCAAAAAGAAGAUAGAUUUGCAUAAACUCCAUUUUAUGGAGUUUCAGAUGUGAAGGACAGUUGCUCUAUUGCUGUUCUCAAAAAGUACUAGCAACUUCUUUGGUACAAUAAAGAAAUGUCAGAUUGAUAAAAUAUUCCCAUCAGAAAUCUGGGAAUCUUAUAUAUCUAGACAUUACAAAAACCAGCACACAUUUCUGUUUUCAUUGUGAGUCAUUUCUUAUACUUCUUUUUUCUGAGAUGAGCAUUAUUCAUCACCAUAAGAAUUUAUCCUUUCUUGGUGUUAUAAACAAUCCAAUUAUACUCAUUUAGUUGUUUUUAAAGGAACAGUUAUUGUUGGCUGGAAUCACACUGUUGUGCAAUGAAAUACAACAUCUUAUUCUUUCUAUCUCACUAUAUUUUUGUACCCAUUAACCGUCCCCACUCUUACCCCUCCACCCCCACUACCCUUUCCAGUCUCUAGUAACCUUUCUUCUACUCUCUGUCUCCAUGAGUUCAGUUGUUUCAUUUUUGGAUGAAUUAAUCAAUGUAAAUAUUAGGCUGAGUUUUAUAAAUAUUAAAUGAAUUUGCUAUAGAUGUAUGGAUUUGUUUUUUGGUUCUCUGUUCUGUCUGCUUAGUCUGUAUGUUUGUUUUCAAACCAGUACUUUGCUUUUUGAUUGCAAUAUCUCCAUAGUACAAUUUGAAAUCAAGUAAUGUGAUUCCUCCAGUUUUGGGCUUUAUGCUUAGGAUGGCUUUGGGUCUUUUAUGGGUCUGUGUCAAUUUUAGAAUUAUUUUUUCUAUUUCUUUGAAGAAUGUUGUUGGUAUUUUGAUAGAGAUUGCAUUGAAUCUGUAGAUUGCUUUGGGUAGCAUGAAAAUUUAACAAUAUAGUUCAUACAAUCCAUGAACAUGGAAUAUGUUUCCCUUUUUGUAUGCUUCUUAAUUUCUUGCAUCAAUGUUUUAUAGUUUUCAUUGUAGAGAUUUUUCAUUUUUUUGGUUAAGUUUAUUCCUAG